CACGUAGGGGACGAGCGUUGUCCGGAUUCAUUGGGCGUAAAGCGCGCGUAGGCGGCUCGGAAAGUCGGUCGUGAAAUGCCGGGGCUCAACCCCGGGACUGCGUCCGAUACUCUCGAGCUGGAGGCAGGUAGGGGAGAUCGGAAUUCCUGGUGUAGCGGUGAAAUGCGCAGAUAUCGGGAAGAACACCCGUGGCGAAGGCGGCUCUCUGGAACGGUACUGACGCUGAGACGCGAAAGCGUGGGGAGCGAACAGG
rnacentral:rRNA from 1 species